GCCCUGGUGAGGAGUCCCACAACAGGACGAAACGGCCGUCCAAUGC
rfam:Schistosoma margrebowiei strain Zambia genome assembly, scaffold: SMRZ_contig0001453